CAGCUUUCUUCAACCAAUUCUAAAAGUGCCAAAAUUUGCCAAUAUGGCCAUCCUCUUGUUAUGUGUCUUAGCGUAGGAUCAUGUCAUAGGACGGUGAGAGCUUUAACCUCUAAAUUGUAAUGAAGGUUGUUAGAGGGAGCUUGUAACCUCUUGAAAAUAUUAUUAUAGAAAUUCUGUUUAUUUUAUUCAUUCAACAUGUUCUCCUUAUAUAGAGAUUACAUGGUCGCAUAAAUGGAAUAAUAUCCUAAUUAUAGCCAACAUUCAAG
rnacentral:misc_RNA from 1 species